GAUACCCUCUUAUNCUAACANUACUUUUAUUACUAGAGUNGUAGUAGAUAUUUUCUUGAAACUCAAAGAAUUUGGCGGUGUUUUAGUCUUACCAGAGGAACCUGCCCCGAUAAUCSAUACCUCCACGAUAAAUUUUACUUACCUMGGUAAAACAGCUUGUAUACCGCCGUCAACAGGGUGUCUCUAGAGAGAACUCCCAAGGACCUUAUUCAAGGAUAAUGUCAGGUCAAGGUGCAGUCAAUGGCUAAGGGUGAGGUGGGUUACAAUAAUUAAAGGUUAAAUGGAUUGGGGUCUGUAAAGACCCUAUGAAGGUGGAUUUGGAGGUAAUAUAUUAAAGUAAAAAUAUAUGGUCUAGCUCUAAAACAUGCACACAUCGCCCGUC
rnacentral:rRNA from 1 species